rnacentral:rRNA from 1 species
UACGGGGGGGGCAAGCGUUGUUCGGAAUUACCGGGCGUAAAGGGCUCGUAGGUGGCCAACUAAGUCAGACGUGAAAUCCCUCGGCUUAACCGGGGAACUGCGUCUGAUACUGGAUGGCUUGAGUUCGGGAGGAGGAUGCGGAAUUCCAGGUGUAGCGGUGAAAUGCGUAGAUAUCUGGAGGAACACCGGUGGCGAAGGCGGCAUCCUGGACCGAUACUGACGCUGAGGAGCGAAAGCCAGGGGAGCGAACGGG